AUUUCUUAUCCGUCAUAUAGAAAUUAUGAUAACCAAACCUUAAUCAAUACAAAGUCUUUAGAUGAAAAGAUCUACGAUAACAACCCCUUUAUCAUUCUAAGUCAUUUUUUACUUAUAAAUCACAAAUCCUUUUCCUAGUAUGAUUUUAGUUUAGGAAUGUUCUGCCCCUAUAUAUUUGUGUUUCUAUUUCAUCGCCACACAAACCACUUGAUCAUACACUUUAUAAUCUACCCUAAAGACCCCCCACAAGUUUUCAUUAUGUGCCUGAUGGAUACGUGCAACGAGACCUACCCAUCGACAGAGCAAGAAACAGAGAAAUCUGAGAAGUUACCCAUGGAGAAAACAGUGUACGUCCCCUCAAGACCUCCUCUGCAUGACUUCAAACUGCCCGGUCCGGGCUGGACCACUCGAAAAGUCUUCCAAUGUGACGAAACCAGGCCUGACAUCAAGAAGAAGCCGGUUCGGGUUUUCAAGCCCUGUCUCAGGGUGAAACAGAGCACAAGGCAGCCGGUGAAUAAGGGGUGUGAAGUGGUGAGGGAGAGGAGUCGUGUGAGGAGAAGGGAGGGCUUGUUUUCGAUGUCGUUGAGUAAAGAAGAGAUUGAGGAGGAUUUUGUUCGCGUGAUUGGGAGGGUUCCUCAGGGGAAGAAGAAAGUGAAGAAGAUAUUUGAAACUGACGAGGAAGAGCAGAAAUACAUUAACUAUCUGAAAUACCUAAGAGAACUUAAUCCUGGAAACUGGUUGUCAGAGAUUUAUCAUGUCUGAGGAAUAUUAAACUGCAGAUGAACAAUGGAGGAAUUGGAGUUGCAAGAUUGGUAGCUGUCGACAUAUAUUUGAACGUUCUGGUUGCAGAAUCCUGGUGCAAAAAGUUUAGGUUCUGUUAAUCUUUUUUUAGAGAAAACAACUAAUUAGGCAGCACUUGUGUAAAUUAGGGUUUCAAUUAUUGACAAUAACUGAAAUAUAUGAUGAUCUGUUUUACGUUCU